GAUAAAUGUAGACAGCUCAUUUUGAUCUGCAAUGUAUUUAUGAAGCUUGCAAAAUACGUAACACUUGGAGUCUCCAUCAUCCCGAGAUGGGUGUAGCUGAGCAACUCCUGCAUGACGUUGAGCUGUUCUGAACAAUCUCUGCUGGGGCUUCUUCUCUCCCUUCAAAGACAGUUUGCUUAGAGCUGCUGGGCACCAAUCACUUGAUCAUCGUGCCAGGAAAAGCCAAUUUCUUUACUAUUUACGUCACACUCACUGGGUGCCAGGUGGUGUCCUGAAUGCUUUGCUAAUAUUGACUCAAUCCUUGAAACAAACCCAUGAGUAAUGUUCUAUCACACCUUAAAGAAUGGGGCCUCACUUCUCUCAAACCUUCCCUUCCACAUGCCCUGGGUGAGGAGACAUGGAAUCAGUGACUCAAAGGACAAGUGGCACCAUUGCCACUAUCACUCAGGAGGUGAAUUGAUGCAAAAAUAAGACAGAUCAGAAGCAGGUGAUACGCUGCUAUUCAUAAACCCGUUCAUCCGAAAAUUGAAUGCCUCUCUCCAGACGUCACCCCUAAUGGGUAGCUGUACCUGGGCAUGCUCACCCAGCUUUUGGAUGAAACUCUUCCUCCGAGGGUGACAGGGAGUGGAGAAAUGAUGCUGGCCACGGGACAGGCAUGGAGAGCCUGCCCUUCCAACUUGCUUCUGUGAGUGCUCGUCUGGGGAUCCCUGCAGCACCUCCGACUCACCACGUCCAGGACUCAAUGCACCACCUGCGUCUCCUGUGUUCUCCAGUGCUGAAAACGGCAUCACCAUCCUAACACCCAAGCUUCUCAGUCAUUUUUGAAUCAUCUUCUUCUCUGCAGCCCAUACUUAAUGAACUCUUCAGUCUUGCUGAUUUUAAGGUGCCAACUUCUCAGGCUUUUUCCUCCUCUCCAUUAUCCUGGUGCAAACCCUUGAGAAUGGCCCUUGAGCCCCUGACCUAAGCCCUAGAAAUAGUGCCAUGAGCAAACAUCUACACUCGUUUCUUUCAAAAGACCUUUGCUAAGCCAUGGCUAACAUUUUCAUUUCCGUCAUACCUGGACUGCUGUCGCUGGUCUCUACAACCAAGAGCGCUCUGCACACACUGUUGUUCUGACUCUCUCAAUCACUCCAAAUAUAUAAAAGACUCACUUCCACCCAGACACAUCCCCCCCAUUUGAUACAGUUUGGACCUAUUUCCCUGCCCAAAUAUCACGUCGAAUUGUGGUCCCCAGUGUUGGAGGUGGGGCCUGGUGGGAGGUGAUUGGAUCAUGGCUGCGGAUUUCCCCCUCAGUACUGUCCUCACGAUAGUGUAUGAGUUCAUCUGAGAUCUGGUCAUUUAAUAGUGCGUAGUAUCUGCUCCCUAAUCUCGCUCCUGCUCCAACCAUGUAAGACGGGCCUGCUUCUCCUUCGCCUUUUGCCACGAUUGUAAGUUUCCUGAGGCAGAAGCCCAGGAGCAGAAGCCGCUAUGCUUCCUGUACAGCCUGCAGAACCAUGAGCUCAUCAAACCUUGUUUCUUUAUAAAUUACACAGUCUCAGGUAUUUCCUUACAACUGUGUGAGAAUGCACUAAUACACCCCUCAGGAAGUUUCCCUGUCCUCUAGAAGUGUAACUAUAUCUCAGCUUGGGAGGGCAAGCAGGGAUUAAGGUCCUAUAGGCCCCAAAUGCCCAUAGGCAUGAAUAGCUUUUCUUCCAGCAUUGGAAUAGAUGCAGCAGCUGAAGUGGCUCGCUUCUGUUAGGGCGUGGUUGCACUGGAGGGCCAUGACGUAAUUACUACACUUCAGAGGCAGGUGAAGAGCUGAAACUGACAGAGGAAUGCAGGAUUCUUAUGUUUGAUCUCAUGGUCUCUCCAGAGUGUGGACCCAAGAGUAGCGUGGAAGGUGGAGUGGACAGAAGGGGGCCUGGCCUGCUCUCUGGGCCUGGUUGGAUUUGAAUAAAUUACAGUAGAUGCAUGCUGACUUCACAUUGCAAUCGCAGCCUCGUCCUGCUUGUUUUUAUUUUCAACUCAAGUCCGUCAAUCAGUUUUCAUCCUUCAGGUUUGGCCCUGUUGUUUCCUCACUCAUGUAUAAUCUUUCACACAAACUAUCUCUUAGGGUAGGGGCGUGGGGGAACUAUAGACUAAUUCCCUUCAUUCAUUUUGUAUGCAUCCACUGCAGUAAAAAUCAAUUUAGAAUCCAUCACUCUUAGGAUGCUUUUCUGAUUAAGUAAGAAACAUUUACCAUCCACACAGCAUAUCAAGCUUUACCACUGGACAAUUUUAAUGCAGAUUAAAGCAUAAAGUAGCUCUCUGCUUUUUCCAAGAUCCAGACUGGUCCCCUAGAAAGCCUUCCCCGAUGCCCCCAGAUAAAGCGAGUCAUCCCCUCUACUCAGUCCCACCCCACAGAAUCCAGCCCAGUAUAAUAAGGUCACAGCCUACAUCGCCUUUAUUCAUGUGUCUCUGGAACUCAGCAUGCAGUAGGUAUUCAUUAAGUAUUGAUUUUAUGAGAUUCAAGGUUUCUAUUUGUAUAUAAGAGAUUUAGUUGGCUAACUAACAGUUUCAAUGGUUGAUUACAAUCCUAAAUGAUCCAUGUCACUGGGAAAUCAUAGACACAUCUUUAAAGAAGCUUCCUCUUUUAUUUCCAGCUUUGUUGAGAUAUAAUUGACAAAUAAAAAUUGUAUAUACUUAAGUUGUACACAUGAUGUUUUGAUAUAUGAAUACAUUGUGAAAUGAUUAUCAUAAUCAAGCUAAU
rnacentral:lncRNA from 10 species